GGGACAUCCGAAGUUCUAAUUAAAACUCUACGAAUUAAGUCUCUUCACAUUCUGCGAACCGUCAGCCCUUCACUUUCAAAUUAAUCUCAAUACGUUUCCAUUUCAUUUUCAUCCUCUUCAUCUUCUUUCUCUCUUCAUGUCUUCAUUACACGACCAUCUCUCUAAUUUGAUUCAACUUCACUCAGUACCACCACCACUCACCAACGAACAGCCGCCUCUCCUCUCUCUCUCUCCAUCACUCGAAAAACAGAACAAUUUUAUGCUUCCAGUCUCCAAAACUUCAUUUCUUCUUUGUUCGCAAGCAUUGGAAACAUCCAACGGAGUAUCAUCCAAGCAAACACAGCAGAGUUUUCCUUUUUAGUGGAAAUGGGAUGGGGGUUUGACUUGGUUUGUUCAAAAUUUGAGUAUUUAUUUUCUUUUUUGUUUUUGAUGAUAGGAAAUGCUUUGUUGAUUGUUCUGUGAAUUGGGUUUGUCGUAUGAUUGAUCAAGUAAUGUUGAUAUUGAUCUUAGAUUUGAGAUGGGAUUGGCUUGAUUUUGCUGAAAAACUGAAAAAAUUCAAUACUCAAAUUGCAUCUUACCUGUAAGCAUGUAAUGGGUUUGUUUUGUUUACUGUUUGCUGAUUGUUCUGUAACUUGGGUUUAUUGAAUGAUUAACCGAAUCGGGUUGCCAUGGUUGUUUUAAGACGGGUUUGAGAUGGGGUUGACCCUGGUUUGAUCUGAAACUAAGAAAGUUUGAUACCUUUGCUGCAUCUUAGAAGAAACUAAAAGAACAUGUUAAGUAGAUCCAAAAUCAUUUAUGUUUUCUUAUGUAUAGAGUUACCUUGGGAGAUAGUUGGAUCUCUCCAGAGGAUUUUGUGGUAAAUUUGUUUGAUUUUUUUAUUAAUUAAAAUUCGUAUUAACUUUCAAUCUGGACGGAAAUUUAACUGAAAUAUGCAGCUUUCUUGGGGUCCUCUGCUUAAGGAUGUCUCCCGGCUUGAUAACAAUGGCUUGGAGAAAUCAAACAGGUCUGCAUCGCAUAUUUAACAUUCUGUAUAAACAAAAUAAAAGCAGAUAAUUAAGCGGCUAUAAAUUUUCUGCUAUGAUAAAACUUAAAUAUGAUACGCUUUGGCAAACUGUCUGGGUCAAAAAAUUAAGCAGCAACUUGAAGAUGGUCAAUUUGUCAAUGUCACAAAUUAACGGAGUGAACUUGAAGAAGUGAUUAGUGCUAGCAGCAGCUCCGUGGUACUGUAUUUUUUUUUCGUACAGUUUUGUUAAUGAAAUUAAUGACAACUGAAUUGUGUUUUUAUACACUGAAUUGUUUUGCUUCAGGGUUUUUUUUAUAAUUUUUUACUGGAUUCGGGUAUGGACCUGGUAUCACUAACAGAUUUUCACACUGAGGUUUGAUUUACUGCUAACUUUUGCAUUUAGUAAUUGCUUAUUUGGUUGAUUCAGAAUGGAUGUGGAUAUAUGUAAAACCAAAGGUUUAGCGUUUUUUCAAGACAGUAAAAAUCUACAUAUUCGAGUUCUUAAACACUUUAGGCACUUGAAAGCUAUGUGUUGGAGUCAUAACCUUCAGAAUGCGGUUUGGGUGAGAUAAAUUGAUUGACACUUGAUUAAGUCAAUCUGUAAUAAAUUUUAAGAAAUGCAGGAAACGUAAAAUGCCCCUCGAAGUACAGCAGAACAAUUUUGAAGGCAUAAUGAAUUAAGUAUUUUGGAACAUGGCGACUGCCAAAACUACUGGAUUGUGUUCUCUAACAUCAGUGAGAAUUUCGCUCACAUCUUCAGUGCAAUUUUUUUUUUUUUUUUUUUUACUUUUGCAAGUUUAGAUUAUUAUCAAUUUUUUUUUGGUAACUUAAAUUUCUGGUUCCACUAUACCUUCUUCCCCAUUAUUAUUAUUAUUAUUUUUUGUGGUUUGCAGAGGAGAUUUUGUUAAAUGAAUUUGAUGCUGUGACAUAUAGAGUUCUGGCAUACUUUCUUCUGGGUUUAGUCAGGAUAUACUCCAAAAAAGUUGAAUAUCUGUUUGAUGCAUGCAAUGAUGUAUUGAUUAAGAUUAAUGACUUUGUGGUUGGUGAAAAAAGUAAGUCAUGGAAGGGAAAACUGAGUUUACUGUAUUAUGCUAUUAUUGUACCAGACAGGUUUGAACUUGAUGCUUUUGAUCUGGAGAUUCUUGCAAUAAGAAAGUACUUUAUCAGAAAAAAUUGCAAUACUUUAUCAGAAAAAAUUGCAAUAAGAAGGUACUCAAGAUACCUGAGUUACUUGAAACCUGCUACUACUCCUGAUGGAGAUGGUGAGCUUGAUGGCUUGAUGAACGGUGAAAUUAAAAAGAAGUUCAAUAUUAUUCCUGAAAAUGUGACCUUCAAGGUGAUUUUAUGAGACCCAAGAUUAAUGAGGUGGCUGAGCUACUUGCAAAAAGGGUGAAUGUCACAAUAUACAAUGGGCAAAUCUUAGAGUUGCUUUGGGAUCAGGGUGUGUGGCGAAGAAAUCAUCAACUGAAUAGUUGUUCAGAAGGUUUUAUGCUUCUUCUGACAAGUGGUAGAUGAGUAUCAGAAAAAUUUUGGUGAUUCAUGGGAAGACUGUACAGGCAGACAACUCUCAAACAUGGCCCUAUCUGAAUGAAGCUUUGACCAAAUUUCAGGUAUUUCUGAUUUCUUUGUCACUCUUGACCAUAUUUGCAAUGAUUUAUUGAAUAUUUGCAAUGAUGUAUUGAUUUCGAUAGAUAAUGUGCGAUUGUCAAUGAGGUAUUGAAUAUUUGAAUAUGA